rnacentral:lncRNA from 7 species
UUUCUCACACAGCCCUUCCUUAUGCUGGAGAGGAAGAUGUUUUUAUAUGCAGCCUGGUUUCUUCUUUUUCGUUCCUUCUGUGUUACAUGAGAUGGUAGAUGGGAAUAUGCAGCCAGAUGAUAGUAACUUAUUACUGAUCUGUCACAGUUGUUGAGAAGUCUUUCCAGCUAACACUAAAACCUCUCUUCCUACAAAGAAAGAAGAAAGCUAUAAAUGAAUAUUGGCUUUUGCUGUGAGCAAAAUGCUUGUUUUUGAUGGUAGAAGAUCAGACCUUUCAGUCUUGCCUGCUUGCCUUUCUUGAUCAAGAUGAUGCAAAGAAGCAUUGGGAGUCAGAAUCAGGAACACGUUGAGACCAGCUUAGGGAAGAAGAUGGGAUUUACCGUUUUGUGAGUAAAACUCUUCAAAGGGAGAUGAAGAAUAAAGGCAGACUGUUUUCCUUUUCCUCUGCCUGGCUCAGGGGUUUAUUUCGUUGGCAGUCUGGAAAAACGUCUGUCCCUCCCAUCUCUCCAGUCAGUCGCACCAUAAACCCCUCCUUGCACUUGGCUGCCCUGGGUGACUCCUUUCUGCAGAACAGAGCUAGCUCCAUUGGGGCAGUUAAAUGCUUUGUUCUAAUGAAUGACCACCGUGUAUGUUUACAGAACAUCUCUUAAAUAACCUCAUUUAUCUGGUCUAGAAUGAGAGACAUUCUUCCUAUUCCUUCAGGCCUCUGGAAGAUGCUCUUCUGGUGGAAGCAGUCCAGUCUUGAUGCUUUUCAUUCCUUCAAAACUGUUGCUUGUUCUAGGAGAAAAGCACUUCCUUUCUAAUUGUACAAGAUCUCCAGCCUGUGAAGCCAGGCAUAACUGACCAGCUUUUGUCUGCACUGACUGCUGGAAGCCCUGCUUGAUGCCUGGCCCCAGCAGCCUGCUGGUUGUCUGGGUGCAGUCUGGGUGCUCAUGGCUGUUCUCUGGCAGCGUGGGACCAUCCUGACGGAGCCUGAGCAGCAGGAGAAUCAGCACUGCUCUCAGUUGUCCCUUCUGCCUGUCAUUCCUACCAGGGAGGCGGUUGCCGUUUGCCUGGUUACCUCUGUUAACAAAAGUUGCUGUGUUUUAAGGAUGCAUUCAGAUGCUUUUUUCUUUCUGUAGCAUCAUGUGGGAUGAUAACUGUGAAGCAAAGCAUGCGGUUGGAGCUUGGGAGAACUGAGUUAUUAGACUUGCAUCUUAGCCAAGAUGUUCUAAACUGCUGAGGUUUUUUUUAUUAGAAUACUUCUUAGUAUUGGGGCUGAACAGUGCUGCAGUAAAUCAGAACCUGAAGAAAUCAUCGCACUGGCUCCUGAAGGAAGAGUAAUUGUGUUUAAGGCCAACAUUUUUCAAGGUGACAAGGGUAAUAACAAAAAUGGUUGUACUCGGAUACUUGUAUGAAAGUUUGGGUAAGUGGUUAUCUAGGAGACAACCAAUAAACAUCUGCCUGCUCU